AUUGAACGCUGGCGGAAUGCUUUACACAUGCAAGUCGAACGGUAGAGGGGGGCAACCCCCUUGAGAGUGGCGAACGGGUGAGUAAUAUAUCGGAACGUGCCCAGUCGUGGGGAUAACGUAGCGAAAGUUACGCUAAUACCGCAUACGAUCUAAGGAUGAAAGCGGGGGAUCGCAAGACCUCGCGCGAUUGGAGCGGCCGAUAUCAGAUUAGGUAGUUGGUGAGGUAAAGGCUCACCAAGCCAACGAUCUGUAGCUGGUCUGAGAGGACGACCAGCCACACUGGAACUGAGACACGGUCCAGACUCCUACGGGAGGCAGCAGUGGGGAAUUUUGGACAAUGGGCGCAAGCCUGAUCCAGCAAUGCCGCGUGCAGGAUGAAGGCCU
rnacentral:rRNA from 1 species